CGACAAUAUCACAAAGGAAAACUACGCCAAGCUCAUAAAAGAAGUCAUAUAUAAUCUCAAAGCACAAAAUUUAAGCACAAAUCUGAUCUCCAGUCCAAGAUCGGUAUGUUCUCUUCAUCUGUUUAUUGCAGUCAGUACAAUGUAAGUGUAGCCUCUUGGACUAUGACCACUGAACUUGUGCUAUUGACUAUAACGCCAGUUGUUCAAGGCGUCUUUACAGGAACAUCUGGGUAGACGUUUGACAGAAGAAUGUGGUUGUAUCAUGUACUUGUAAUAAAUCCAAGGAGAGCACUCCUUCUGCAGCUUGUUUUUCAGCUGAAUGAGUUACCUCGCUAAUAUUUCAAGGACAGUUGAAGCUUGAUACUAUUUCAAGAGAUCGAUUUCUGUUUCACCACAAUAUCAUCAGCAGAAUAAUAGUCUGCUAUGAGCCGGUACAUGAAUGAAGCAUUAUGUCCACCCGUGUCUGUUAUAAACAAACUAACAAGAUUUGGUGGCACAUAAUCAAAUGCGGGAUUAACAACAUCAAGUAGGGGGGAACCAGAGCUGCUCUCGAAAUCCAGGCAAUCUGAGAAUUCUCCAAAGUCCAGAAGCUCAGCUGGUGAUUUCAAUUCAUUUAGCAAGACUUCUGGAUUGUGUGGAUACAAAGGACAUAACUUGUGAGUGCCUGCAAGAACAACAAAGGGAACAGCAUGCCUCUGAGCUGCUAGAGCCACCAUGUUCAUUCCAACAGGUGCAAUAACCCCACCAUUGGCCAUGACAGUGUGAGCUCCAACAACCACCAUGUUGACUCUUGAGAUGAUAGCAAAAACAGCAGAAUCAGUGAUCACUGUGGUUUGCAGACCCCUGGCAACCAAUUCUUUUGCAAGGGCAUGCCCCUGGUACCUUGGGGCACCCUCAGCCACAAAAACCCGGAAAGAUCUCUUCUUUUCCUUUGCAGCACAUAGAAAUUCCAUCACUGUCCUUGAAUUGCCUAAAGUUAAGAUUACCUCAUUGUGAUGAAUAUGCUCAACUGCUUGUUCAGCAAUCUGGUCAUGGCAGGUAGCAAUAUCUUGAAUAAGUUCAUUAACAGCCUCAAUGACAUUAUGUUUUAGUUUCUUGCUCGUUGAAUUCUUAUCAGCAGAUUUGCUUUUUCCUUCAGAAUCACCACCAGAAGAAGAUGUUCGAGGUACAGCUGUUGAUUGUGGGAUGUCUUCAAGGAGGGUCUGCAAGGAAGGUGGUCUCAAGGUGUUUCUAGCAGCAGCAGCCACAGCAGCGGCAGAUAAACCUUGAUGAUCGUCUUGCUUGACAUCAUCUUCAUCAUCACUUCCAGCCGAUAUACCCCACCCACCAACAGCAGCAGCUGUCAAAGAUACAUCCUCCUCCCUUAUAAUAUUAAGAACUCGCCUAACAAUGUUACCGACGGCAAGCUCUACUGGAUUAGCAGCAAUCAACUUUUCCCCAAUACCUCUGAUUGCAUCAAUAAGAGCAUCAGCCUGGUGAGUUUGAGGAAGCCUCUGCUGCGAUAUGCAUGAGCGUAACACUUCCGCUGUCAAUUUCGCUGUUGUCUUCGACCCCUCAAUUUUCCGUUUCUUCAGCUUGAUUAUGAAUUCAUUCACUAGGGCAUUCAUGUCCGUAUUUGUUGAAUUUACACCGUUUAAUACUGUGCUUGAAGCUUGGGAUUGUGCUCAACAAUGG
rnacentral:misc_RNA from 1 species